rnacentral:rRNA from 1 species
UACAGAGGUCUCAAGCGUUGUUCGGAUUCAUUGGGCGUAAAGGGGUGCGUAGGUGGCGCCGUAAGUCGGGUGUGAAAUUUCGGAGCUUAACUCCGAAACUGCAUUCGAUACUGCGGUGCUUGAGGACUGGAGAGGAGACUGGAAUUCAUGGUGUAGCAGUGAAAAUGCGUAGAGAUCAUGAGGAAGACCAGUGGCGAAGG